rnacentral:rRNA from 1 species
UUCCGGUUGAUCCUGCCGGCGGCCACCGCUAUAGGAAUUCGAUUAAGACAUGCGAGUCGAGAGUCUUCGGGACUCGGCGGACUGCUCAGUAACACGUGGAGAACGUGCCCUUAAGUGGAGGAUAAUCUCGGGAAAUUGAGGAUAAUACUCCAUAGAUCAUGGGAUCUGGAAUGACCCAUGGUUGAAAGUUCCGGCGCUUAAGGAUCGCUCUGCGGCUUAUCAGGUUGUAGUGGGUGUAACGUACCCCCUAGCCAGUGACGAGUAUGGGCCUUGAGAGAGGGAGCCCAGAGUUGGAUUCUGAGACACGAAUCUAGGCCCUACGGGGCGCAGCAGUCGCGAAAACUUCACACUGGGGGCAACCCCGAUGAGGGAAUUCCUAGUGCUAGGACAUUUGUUCUAGCUUUUCUCUAGCGUAGAUAACUAGAGGAAUAAGGGCUGGGUAAGACGGGUGCCAGCCGCCGCGGUAAUACCUGCAGCCCAAGUGGUGGUCGAUUUUAUUGAGUCUAAAGCGUUCGUAGCCGGUUUGAUAAAUCCUUGGGUAAAUCGGGAAGCUUAACUUUCCGACUUCCGAGGAGACUGUCAAACUUGGGACCGGGAGAGGCUAGAGGUACUUCUGGGGUAGGGGUAAAAUCCUGUAAUCCUAGAAGGACCACCGGUGGCGAAGGCGUCUAGCUAGAACGGAUCCGACGGUGAGGGACGAAGCCCUGGGUCGCAAACGGGAUUAGAUACCCCGGUAGUCCAGGGUGUAAACGCUGCCGACUUGGUGUUGGAGGCCCUUCGGGGGCAUUCAGUGCCGGAGAGAAGUUGUUAAGUCGGCCACUUGGGGAGUACGUCCGCAAGGAUGAAACUUAAAGGAAUUGGCGGG